ACCGGCGGAAGGAUCAUU
rnacentral:rRNA from 1 species